GGGUAGGAAACUAAAUCUCAUUAGAAUAUAUGAGGCCUACACGUUAGUAAUAAUAACUAGGCUUAUGCAUUUUGGACCAGUGGUUUGGGCCCAACGAGUUAUUAUUGCUUGCGGGUCGGGUCGUUACAUUUUCCCUCUCUCUUACCUUUACUUAUCGUACCUGCGCUCUAAAGACCUCUCCUUUCUCUCGCUUUCUCUUUCUAUUGCAUCUCCCCGCCAGAACCCUACCCUUGCCUAGGGUUUUCGAUAUGCAUUGUACGUCUUGAUCUACUCCCAAUCGAGGCAUUAAAUACUAUCAUGGAAAUGUCAUCUUCAGCAUCUUUGGGAUUACUCUAUUGCCGGUUGUUGCGAGCCGAAAAUCCAGACCAUUGACCCAAUCAGUAUUUUCCUUUGGGAAGCGAGUCGAGAGGUGGGCCGACUCUUGAUGAUAACCCUCGAAUGCGCCCAAGACUAAUCAAGCGAUCGACUGAGGAGGGAUAUACUCAGCCGAGUUCGAACACUCAUUGUAUUAAUGACUUGGCUGAAUGAGCCAAGUGACUUAUCUUUAUUUCAGAAAAAGAGUUGAAAUACAGAGGUUGUUAUAGAGAUGAGUCCUACUGCUAACUUGUCCUACCAAGCCUUUAACUAACAAAAAUAACUACUAUAGCAAAGUAGAAAAUAAAGAAAUUGAAAUUGCAGUGGUCUCUUGUAUGUGAAAAAAGACCCCUUGCACAGGCGUGUUCUGUUUAUUUAUAAUCCUGCUUGCCGUAAUUUAGUUAAUCCUUCUCGUGGGAGUAUUAAACCAAACAUAGUAACGCUAUAAACACUGCAAUCCAGUAUUACAUUACUGUAUUAAAUUAAACGCACUAAUACAGUAUCAGUAGUAACCUCAUUUAGAAAUCUAAGAUAUUUGGAUAUAUCGAAAUACUCUGUAAUAUAACAUAACUCGAACCAAACACGCCCUUAACAGAAUUGUAUUGAUGCAAAUCCAAUCGCAACCCAAUCAAUUUCAAUCAAACAAUGUUAAGUAAAUAGAAAUUAAAUCUAACUCAAACUCAAUUUGAAUCUAACUUAAAUCCAAGCCUAUACUAAAUAUAAAUGCAUGUGAAACCCCAAUUCCAGUCUAAUCAAAUCAAAUACUAAAAGUCGUAUUUUUUUUUUUUUUGCCAGAAAUUAUUUUUUACUGAAAUUUUUUUUUCAUAAUUUUACAUGAAAUCAAAUAACCCAUAAGCCAGCACGACACGAGUGCUAGUUUAUCGAGAUAAAUUAUUCUUUACAAAAUCAAUUUAGAAAACUAGUCACACAAUUUUAUAAAAUAUUCCAAAAAAUUACUUUUUUGUCAGACUCGGUCAAAUAAUUUAUAGCUUUUAACUAAAAAUAAUUCUACAAAUCAAAAUUAUCUUAACAGAAAUUAAUUUUUCAAAAGGUAGGCUAAACAGGCCCUUAACUAUAUAUUUUGAUGAUAGAUAAAUUUAUGGACACAUAAAAAGGACUUUUUUUUUAUAAAACAAAUAAACAAUCCUCUAAAAUUUUGGUAUUUACGAAAUAAUCCUGCCAAAAUUAUAUUUAAAAAACCAACUCUCUUUUUGCCAUGUAAGAUGUACAUUGGGAUUUUCACUUAAAAACGGUGAACAAUUUACUGUCUUCAUAAAAUUUCUCACAAAAACGGUGAAUCAUUCACCGUUUUUUAUUUAUUUACUGUUUAUUUCUAUAUUCAAUAUUUCAAUGUUAACAAUCUGAAAAUUCUAAUAAUCUAUCUAUACAAUCUUAACAAUAAAAAAAUUCUAAUAAUCUAUCAAUAUAAUCCUAAUAAUCAAACAUAAUAUAUAAUCUUAACAAUUUGAAAAUCCUAAUAAUCUUUCCAUAUAAUCCUAGUAAUAAAAAAAGUCCUAAUAAUUUAUCCAUAUAAUCCUAAUAAUCAAACGAAUAUAAUCCUAACAAUCAAACGAAUAUUCUAAUAAUUCAUAUAUAAUUCUAACAACCUCACUUUUUUUAUUUUCCGUAUAAUCUAUAUAUAAUUUUAACAAUCUCAUUUUUUUCUCUUUCUCAUAUUAUAUUAUAUAAUCCUCAAUAAAAAAUUAUGAAGAAGGCGGUGAAUCGUUAACAUUCUUAAUGAAUACGGUGAACGAUACAUCACUUUUAAAAAACCUUGGAUUCUUUCAGAAUACGGUAAACAAUUCACCGUAUUUCGGAAAAAAAAAUCUGACGUGGCUCCUACAUGGCGAAAAGAGGAUUAGUUUGCCAAAUAUAUAAUUUGAUAGGGUUAUUUCGUAAAUUAUAAAAUUUUAGAGGAUUAUUUUAUAAAAAAAAUCCCAUAAAAAUAUAGAAUUCAACACCCCAACCAAUGCACUAAUCCUACAUUAGUGCUAAAGCACACUAACAUACCGGUCAAAUUAAAUUUCUAACAUUGGGAGGAUUAAUUUGCAAUUUAGCUCGAAAUCUCUGCGCAUCUCCGUAGAUUGAGUGAUUUGGACGGCCGAGAUUCGUCUCUGGGCGCACGAUCGUCAUCAAAGGGUGAGCCGAAGCUCUGAUCUUCGUGCGCCUCGGUUUCCGCCCCCCGUUCUCCAUUUAUUUACCAAAUUGCCAUUCCCAACACGCUUUAAUAAUUAAAGUGCCACGUCAUCGCAAAAUGCCUAAUUAAAAAAAUUUUAAAAAAAUCCGUAUUUACGUUCGAGAAAUUUUCGAUCGUGCCACCGCUUUAAAACUUGUGCGGUACAGUAGGAUAGAAACUAUUGCAUGCGCUUGGUGCAUCGUGCACCGUACUUUAAAAAUCCAAUUAUGGACUAUUUUGAUUUAACUAUUUAAUCUUUUAAAAAUUUUGAUUUCACAACUCAACCUUUUAAUUUUUUUGAUUUAAAUAAUUUGAUGGCCGUUCGAAAAUAAAAUUAAGCUAAUUUCUUAAUUUAAUAAAUUUAUAGUUACGUUGUAUGGAUAAACUGCGGUUUCAAUUUUUUAAAUUAAAGAGUUACUAAUUGGCUUAAAUCAAAUAAAUUAAAAAAUUGGUAGAAAAAUUAAAAUUUUCGAAGAUUAAAUACUCAAAUUUAAAUGGGUGAUAAUUGAGAUAAAUUUUAUGCAUUUUUACCUAUAUAUUAAAGAGGAUUGAUAUUGCUAAACCAAGUUUUAUAUGGGGUAACACAUUCAUUAAUUGUAUCUAAUCAUAAUUUAAACAUUUUUACUCUAUCAAUAAUACAAUUAUUUUGAUAAUAUUAAUUUUUAUAGUAAAAAAUAUAAAUGUAGACACUUAUUUCUUUUGGCCAAUUUGCAUAAAAAAUCCACUAAUUUUGGGAUUUUGCAAAAGUGGGGCCACCUUUUUCGUUUUUGCAGAUUAUGUCCUAUUUUUCAGCAAACUGACCAAAAUACCCUUGUACCUUUUUCUCUCUCCUCUUUUUUUUUCUCUCGUUCUUUUUUUUCUUUCUCUUCCCAGAGAGUGGCAGAGGCUGAAAUGCCACCCCUGCCCCGGCGACGUCGCCCUCGCUCGCUCCGGCGACGUCGUCGACAACGAGCCCGCCUCCCCUGCCUUGGCCCGAAUCCUCCGACCCUGCUGAGGCCGCGCCGCCACCCUCUUCUCCACUAGGACACGGCAACGUUGAGACGCAGGCUCUUCUUCUCCACCAUGCGUCGAAAUGCCGAGACGUUGUCGGAGGCGGCGAGAUCACCCUGACGACGUCGUGGUGGUUGCGAUAGAAAGCAAGGGAGGGAGAGGUGGUGACAAAAAAAAAUUAUAGAAAAAAAUAAGAAUAACAAAAAUAAAAAUAAAAAAAAAUUUCUUACAGAAAAGAUUAAAAAAUAUAGGGGAAGGAAGAAGAUGAUGAGAAUUACACUCUUAGAAUAAAAUUACACUGUUUUAAAAAAAAUUUGCACUGUUUUAAUAAAAAUUGCACUAUUUGAUAUAAAAAUUAUAUUUUUUUCUUCCUCUUCUUCUUUUUCUUCUUCUCUUUCUCCUUUUUUAUUUCUUUCGACGAGAACGUCCUUCUUCUUCUUCUUCUCUUUCUCCUUUUUUUUUUCUUCUUUUUUUUAUCACAUUUUAAAAAGAUUUACCACGUUGGAACCGGAUUUCUCACAUUUUAGAUAAAGUNCUUUUUUUUUUUUUUUUUCCUCUUUCUCUUCUUCUUUCUGCAGGAGCAGCUUUCUUCUUCUUCUUCUUCUUCUUCUUCUUCUUCCUGCAGGAGCACCACCCACCCGCCGGCUCUGGAGGCGUCGGUGGUGGCGGAUUGGCCGGAGUGGGUGCGGCGGCUGGGGAAGGCAGUGGCACCCGCCGCGCGCAUCUCGCCCUAGAACGCCGAUAGCGAGGAGCGCCCCGCGACGUCGUCGGAGGCGUCGUUAAUUAAGAAAAAACAAAAAAAAAAAGAAAUGGUAGAGAUCUAAUUUCAAUAGCAAAUAAUCAGAUCAAAAUAAUAUAAUUAGUAAGGAGGAGUCGUUAAUUAAGAAGAAGAAAGAAAGAGAGUUAAUUAAUUACCGACGAGGCGAGGUGCAUGUGGCGGAGGCGAUUAAUGAUGGUGAGCUCGGCGCGCGCGCCACUGCCCUCCCAAGCCACCGCACCCACUCCAACCGAUCCGCCACCGCCGCCACCUUCUCCUCCCCCACCCCCACCAUCGCCAACACCCCCAUCGCCUCUGCCUUUGCCUCCAGAGCCGGCGGGUGGGUGCUGCUCCUGCAGGAAGAAGAAGAAGAAGAAGAAGAAAAAGAAAAGGAGGGAAAAAAAAAAAAACCUGCUCCUGCAGGAAGAAGAAGAAGAAGAAAAAGAAGAAGAAGAAGAGGAGAAAGAGGAAAAAAAAAGAAAAGAAAAGAAAGCUGCUCCUGCAGGAAGAGGAAGAAGAAAAAGAGAAAGAGAAAAAAAAAGAAGAAGAAAGAAAUAGUGUAAAUUUUUUUUAAAUGGUGCAACUUUGGUCUAAAGAGUGUAAAAUCUAUUUCAAAAGAGUAUAAUUUUUAUAUCAAAUCAUGCAAUUUUCAUUAAAACAGUGCAAUUUUUUUUUUAAAACAGUGUAAUCUUAUUUUAAGAGUGCAAUUUUCAUCAUCUUCUUUCUUCUCCUAUAUUUUUUAAUCUUUUCUGUAGGAGUAAAUAAUUUUUAUUUUAUUUUUAUUAUUCUUAUUUUUUUCUAUAUAUAUAUAUAUAUAUAUAUAUAUAUUUGUCACCACCUCUCCCUCUUUUGCUUUCAUCGCAACCACCGCUACAUCGUCGGAGGUGAUCUCGCUGCCUCCGAUGACGUCUCGGCGUUUUGACGCGUGGUGGAGAAGAAGAGCCUGCGUCUCAAAGUCGCCGUGUCCUAGUGGAGAAGAAGGGUGGCGGCGCGGCCUCAGCAGGGUCGGAGGAUUCGAGCUGAGGCAGGGGAGGUGGGCUCGUUGCCCGCGACGUCACCUGAGCGGGCGAGGGCGACAUCGCCGGGGCAAGGGGUGGCGUUUCCGUCUCCGCCGCUCUCUGGGAAAAGAAAGAAGAAAAGAACGAGAGAAAAAAAAAAAAAAGGAGAGAGAAAAAGGAACAAGGGUAUUUUGGUCAGUUUGUUGAAAAAUCGGACCAAAUUUGUAAAAACAAAAAAGGUGGCCCACUUUUACAAAAACCCAAAAUUAGUGGAUUUUUUAUGCAAAUUGGUCAUUUCUUUUUGAUAGUUAACUUUCAUAAUUAAUAUUUGUUUAUACAUUAAGGACAAAAAUAGGUUCUGUAAUAGCAGUAUUGGAGUUUUUCCAUUAUUUUGUUUAAAAAUGGAGUUUGUAUUUAUAAAAGUGUAUUUGGAUGCAUGUUUCCAGCUAAGUUUAUUUUUAAAAAAAAUAAAUGAAACAACAUGCUAUCUUUCUCUCAAAAAAUAAUAGCAAAAAUAUCUUAAAAUGUUAUAAAUCCGUUAUAAAAAUGAAAAACAUGAUACUAAAAUUGUACAAAGAUACUUCUGAAAUGAAUUUAGAAGUAUGAAAAAAAAAUUGGUCAAUAAAUAAUUUAAAAAUAAAUGGCCAAUUUGCAAAAUCUACCGAUUUUGCGUUUUUGCAAAUAUAGACCACUUUUUUAGUUUUUGCGGAUUAAGUCUGAAUUUUUAAUAAACUGAUCAAAAUAUUUUUAUUGCUCUUCUCUCAUUUCUCCUCUCUUUUCAUCUCUCUCCUCGCUGUACUCCUCGCUCUCUUCCUCUAUUUUGUCUUUUGCUUCCUCUCCCUCAUCCUCCUUCUCCAUUACUCUCACGUCAAUACUACUCUCCUCUCUCCUACCUUACCUACACCUCCACUGACAUUGGCGGUGAUGACGCUGACUCCAAUAUGGCAAAAAUAGUAAAGGUGAGGCUACGGUAGAUAGCGUGGCCAACGACGAUGAGGGUGUCGCAGGAUUUGAGGAGGAUAAAGAAAGAGAGCACAAAGGGAUGGGGGCGGCUGUUGUGCCGAAGGGAGAGGGAAGAGGUGCAAGAGCAAAAAGGAUGCAGAAAGUAGAAAAGAAGAAAAAAAAAAUUAAAAAAAUUUCUUCUCCUAAAAAGGCCAUCAUGUGCCAUAGCUGCUAGUAAAGGUGUACGUACGUGGACCGAGUCGGAUUUGGAUAAUUAAUAUACUGUACCCAUAUCCUAAAAAAAAGUGGUUAGAAAAAAAAAAUAUAUACCCUGCCCAUUUAACUUCGGGUCAGAUCCGCGUUUGCGUACUUAAGUUACUAAUAUAACCAUCGGGUCUAUUUGUGCGGGUUUUAGUGAGUACCCGUAUACUACCCGUUCAAGACCGGAUAUGGAUCGGGUCUAGAUCUGGUACGAAUACCCAUAUAAAUAUAUUUUUUUAUAGACUUUAUUAAAUAGUCUAUGGACAAACUAUAAAGCCCCCCAUAACAUACUCACAUCCUAAUAAGUUGUACCAUCCAAUUAAAUUCAUUCAGAAGAACAAAAAUAAAAUAUCCCAAUACGUACAUUGGUCCAAAAUAUAAGCAUCUACUAUUAUAUAGUUAAAAUGCAUACAUGAAAUAUUACAGUGGAAAAAUAAGUUUGAAGUUUUUUUAAUUUUCAUGAGUGAACAAUAACAUAAUAGUCACAAUAACUAAUAAAAUAGUUAUUAAAAUUUUUCUCUUUGUUGAUUGAUUCUUUUUGCAAGAUAUUCAGCAACAAAAAUUGUUGAAUUUGUCAAAUAAACUAUAUUAGAAUGUACCAUAAAAGUACUCAAUAAAGAGAUUUUAAAAAUUUACCUUUAAAAAUUGUUCAUAUGAACCAAAAGAAAUGAGUAAAAGAAAAGGCUUGGGUUUCAUUAGGAUGAAAAUACGUAGUGACCCCUCAUCUAUAAGUCAUAUUAAAAUUGAUCCUUCAACUUCAAAAGUUUAUUUUUUUUAUUUACUAUCGGAUAUUUCACCGGGUCCAGGUCCGUGUCCAGAUUUGAAAACUAUUCCAGACCCUACAUAUUUAAAAGUUGGGUUCGGGUCGGAUCCAAAUCGGGUAUGGGUAUAAAAUAUCCGGACCCAUACCCGAAACUUUAAUGGGUAAUUUUUUUUAUCCGUAUACUAUUCAUUUUUUAUCGUGUCCGGUUCGGGUCCGAGUAGGGUCCGGGUAAGGUCCGGAUCGAGUAUGGGAUAUUGGAUAUUUUGGACAGCUUUAGUUGCUACAAGAAAGGCCAAGAAAUAAAGAAGAAAAAAAAAAAGUUAUAUUGUUUGAAAUGUAGCUAGACUGUUUGAGACUAAGUUGACUAUUUUAAAAUUAUUUGAGAAUAAAUUACAGCAAAGAAAAUAGAAGUUGCACUGUUUAAGACUAAUUAAUUUGUACUUUUAAAAUUUAAGUUGCACCGUUUGAGAAGUUGAAACUUAGUCUCAAAUAGUUUUAAAUGAGAAGUUAUAAUUUAAUCUCAAAUAAUUUUAAAUAGUACAAUUUAAAUAUCAAACAGUGCAACCUCUAUAUGUAGUGCAACUUAGUCUCAAAUACUUUUAAAUGGUACAACUUAAAACAGUGUAACUUAUUUCAAAUAGUGUAGCUUCUUUCUCUCUUCUAAACUGAUUAGUCUUUCCUGUAGUGAUCACUGGACACAAUGGCUUUCCCAGGGAAGAAAAUAUUUUUUUCUUAUUUUUUUAUUCUUUCUUUUUCUUGUUUGUCCACUUCCUGCUUUUCCACUACUAUGCUCCCUCCCUUGCCCAUUGCUGCAGCAACCGCUCCUACCUCUAACCCAGGGGCUUUCUGUAACACACUGGACCUUUGCAAAUUGCGAGGUUCGAGUGUUCGAGCUGUGUGCUGAGCAAUUCCAGAUUUUCUGGUGGGUCGUUGACAGUGUUCCGACCUAUGGUUCGCAUCCCGAGAAGUGAGGUUUAAAGCCGAGCACGAAAACCCGAAAAAUCGGAUUUUUGGUUAGCUCUCGGGUUGCCUUCAGAGGGCUGUGUACCGGUACGGGAGUGAUGGCUGUACCGGUACAGCCAUCGACUUUGGCCGCUUCUCAGCCAACCCGAGGCUCGGGCUGGGCGUUUUCGCAGAUGGUGUACCGGUACACGGGCCCGUGUACCGGUACGCAGUGCAGAUUCUGAGCAGUUUGAACUGCAGGGGGUUUUUCGCGAUUGUGGCCUUCUAUAUAGCCACCCACGCCCCUAGGGCUCUCCCUGAGCUUGGCACCAGCAAGGAGAAAGGUGAGGGAGCUCUCCAUACCUCCUCAUUCCUUUUCCUUGAUUUUGCUUGGGUUUUUAAGAGAUUAAAUCACCCUUAUUUUGCUCCUUUUGUUUUGGAGCUAUUCCAACAUUGGAGCUGUUUGAUCUUGUUGGACGGAGAAGAUUCUUGACCUGUGUUGAAACUCUUGUUUGGAGGCUUCUAAAGAUGUGGUGCUUAUCUUAUUCCAUCUAUAUUUGGUUGAUCUUGUCAGUAAUCACCUAAAUGGAAAUUAGGGUUUAUUUGGGCAUUUUCGUUUUAGGGCUUUUGAAGCUCAAUUAGUUGGUUUAGAACCCUCCUAAGGCUUGGAUUAGAAGGAUUCUAGCCCUCAUUUGGAGCUUAAGAGAGGAUUUUUGCUCUUGAGGUGAGUUUUGCCCAUUUUGCUAGAUGCUUAAUGAUUGAGCUUUUCGCUCUUCGUUUCGUUUGGGUAACCCCGUUUUUGAUGCUCUUAGGGUACUAGGGAGCUUGCCGAAACCUUCGUUCGGCGGAUCGAAAAGCUUCGUUGUCGUCGGUGGGUUUGGCCUAGCCUAUAAUAUGAGAAAAUCUCAUAUUUGGUGAUAAGUGCUUGGUUUACUAAUAAUUCAUGCAUUUUUAUAUUAAAUACAUUUAUUAUGAGUUUUAGAAUGCUUAAAAUGCAUAAGUUAUACAUGAUGAAUUUUUGGACCUCUAUGUAGUAGAGAGUAGAUUAUUAGGCCAUAGUUGCAUUUAGCAUUCCAUGUGAGACGUGGUAUCAUGCCUCUAUAGUAUAAAUGAGUUCGGAUUCAUGCGUUUAAACCUAAGUUUACUUGUGAUGUGAAAAUUGACAAGAUUGACAUUUAGAAGCUAUGGGAAUUAGAGAGCUAAUGUCAUCAAGCGGCAUUGAGCUCGGGACAUGUGUGAACCUAGUGGAUAGGGCCAUUGAGGGAUUUGGAAAACGUGUUGGACAUCAAAUUGCCUAAGUGUCAUUAAGGGGCACUAGGCGUAGCAAAUGUUGAAACCUCACAUUGUGAUUUAAACUAGAUCUUCGGGAUGCUAGUGACUUUACCAUGUUAGAGACAUGAGAAUUUGAUAUUUGAGACUUGGACUUUGCUUGCUUGCCAUUUGUGCUCAUUCGCACAUGCUUGUGAGGGUCGCUCCCUACAAGCCGGCACUCCGGAGUUAGCCUAUGCGACUUAUGUUCGCUCGUGCGGUAUCGAGAAGCCUACGGGGUCGAGUGGGACAGACACAUUCCAUGAGUAGGAAUGUCGGGCUACCACAGGCACUUAGGCGGCACAAGCUGGACUACCUUGGGUAGGUCCCUAAUUGGAAAUGGAAAUCGACACAGUUUGAAAAUGAACACUCCCUACUAGUUAGGCUUAGUAGUUGGAGUACAUUUACAUGCAUAUAGCAUAGGGUUGAGACAUGUAGUACACUUGACAGUUACUUAUUUCAUCACAGUAUACUUGGUUGCCACGAUAGAGCUUAUACAUCAUGUUUGAAUAAAGGGUUGUAUCAGUAAACUGUUGUCAUCGGUUACUUUUCCCCUAUGAUAGAAUAUAAGUACAAUAUUUUGACAUCGUGCUUAUGAGGGAUAUAUUAGUAUAGCAAUUUACUUAUGCACUCUCUUUCAGCAGUUUAUUUGCAUGCUCCUUUCUAUUGCUUAUUACUAUUAGCAUUACUCACCCUUGUUUUUGGGGCCUAGUGGAGCAGGAGCUGAGGUCAGUAAUUGCCCACUGGGAACUAUAAAUUAUAGUUCUCACGCCAUCUUUUUCUCGAUGUUUUCAGAGCUUUCCACUCAGGGUGAGGCCAGGGACCGCGGGAAGGGAGUUGCUUCGAGCUAGCUUCCUUCGAGGACGAUUCACUAGGUGGUCUACCUCUCGCUGUGUUUUAUUUUGGAGAGGUUGAGAGUUCUACCAGUGUAUUAGUGACCACCAUUUUUGUAUUAGAGGCUGAUACUGUAUAACUUAUGUUUACUUUCAUGUGUUAGUUAUGUUCUAUUACUAUUGGUGUUGAUGUUAGAACUUUACUCGCUCUGAUAUCAUUAGUUGUUAGUCAUUUCACUCCUUCUAUUUGUUCUACUGCUUGCCUUUACUUCCGCUUUUAUUGUAGACGCCUUAUAUGUGUAGACAUAUGGCGGGUCUGGGCACGCCACCGGGAGGGCCUCCGCCGGUCCCGGGGCGUGACAUAUGGUUUUACUUACAGCUCUCCACCAUCUGCCGAUGACAUAAAGGAAACUCAACCUACCCAAAAAAAAAGACUUAGGUGAGUUAGAAUGUACUUUAUUUCUUUCCUCAAAUAUGUACUAUUUAUAGCUAAGGUUAUGUUAAACUUAUGUUUUUAUUGUGUUCUUUAUUUUUAUUUGCAGUUUCGAUGAGGGUUCUUCCACAAAUGAAGACCAGNGAGCAAGAGCUGAGGUCAGUAAUUGCCCACUGGGAACUAUAAAUUAUAGUUCUCACGCCCUCUUUUUCUCGAUGUUUUUCAGAGCCUUCCACUCAGGGAGAGGCCAGGGAUCGCGGAAAGGGUAUCGCCUCGGGCUAGCGUGCUUACCGAGGGAUCGUUCGAUAGGUGGUCUACCUCUCGUGUUAUCUUUUAGUGAGAGGUUGAGAGUUGUACCCGUAUAUGCAUAGAGACCACCAUUUUUGUACUAGAGACAGAUAUUGUACUACUUAUGAUUUCCUUUAUUGUCUAUCCUUAUCUGCUUACUUUGGUGUAGAUGCUAGAACUAUAUUCGCUCUGAUAUCAUUAGUUGCUGGUUACUUCACUUCUUUUAUUUGUUCUAUUUCUCGCUUUUCUUCCGCUCUUAUUGUAGACGCCUUAUAUGUGUAGACAUAUGGCGGGUCUGGGCACGCUACAUGGAGGGCCUCCGCCGGUCCCGGGGCGUGACACUUUCCUUCCUUGUCAUCCUAAAAUCUUGCGACAUUCUUGUUGUCAUCGCUGUCCACGGUCACAUCCUUUGCCGUAGCCUCACUUUCGCGAUUUGUGCUAUAUCCGAUCCCACAUUACCUCCGUUGGCAUCAACGGAGGUGUGGGCGAGGUAGAAGAGAGGAGCAUAGCAUUGACGUAGGGAUGAUGGAAGAGAAGAAGCAGGUACAGAAAUGGAAGAAAAAAGAGAGAAAAAAACGAUGAGAAAGGGGAAACGAAAAGGGAGAAGAAAAGUAAACAGGAGAUAAAACGGAGAGAGAAAGAGAGGAGGGUAUUUUGGUCAUUUUAUUAAAAAUUUAGACCUAAUCUGUAAAAUUUUAAAAAAUGAUCUAUUUUUGCAAAAAUGCAAAACCAGUGAAUUUUUUAUAUGAAUUGGCCAUUUUUUAAAAAUAUAUAAUAUAAUAUAAUAACUAUGUAAUAUUUGAGACUUUUAAAGGGAAAAAUUCAAAUUUUGAGCUCGUGCCCUCCCCCAGGGCUAUGUAAUAUCUGAGACUUUUAAAGGAAAAAAAUUCAAAUUUUGGGCCCGUUUGGGCUCGUGCGACCGCACGGGGCUAAGUUGCCUUUGUCGUUGUCGGCCGCCAUCGCCCUCUUUUCCUCUCAGUUCAAAAGGAGGUCCGUGCCCCUCCCUCGGCUGCUCCGGCCAUCGCCGUGGCCGGAGAGGGAGGACAAGCCCGAUAUGAAGUUGUGCGGGCUCAGCUUGCUCUCGUGCCACCACCGCCACCUCCUGCCACCGACAAGCGCGUCACCGAGCUGCCACCGGUCGAGUGUGGACUAUUGUGCUCCCCCAAGCUCGGUUAGGGCUUAGUUGGUGACCCUUCAGUAUUCUGGCGAUCUGGGGCCACUCUGACGCCUUCGAAGGUGAGCACGAGGACCCUACGAAAUGCUGAUCAUAGUGCUCAUGUGUUUCGCUAUUAGCGAGACACAGAUCGCUAUUUUUCUCCAUUGUCGCUCCCGGGGCGUAUUUCCUUACUGAACUUCGGCUGGCUCCAAUGUACUCCACAGAGGCUUGCGAUGCUCCGAAUAGUGAGCACAGCCUGUCUUGAUGAGACCUUUCUGUUGGUACACUCGGUUGGCCUUUAAAGUGCUCGGAUCGAGAUAACGGCCCUAAUCUCCUUAAUAUGCAUAUAUAUUUCAAUUAUUGUGAUUGUUAAGGGUGUUUACGCAAUUGUUUCACUGUGGUCUGCUCUGGGCUAUAUGUCUAUGUCGUGUGUGACCUCUGAACUGAUCGUCCAAGGUCCGAAACCUUCUGCGGAGAUCGAAUCUUCGUUUUAUUGCAUUUUUUGGUGAAAUCUGCUAACGAAACGUAGUUUCGAUUUGGAUUUCACCCUAUGCUAUUGGAAUGCUUUAGUUUUCUCUGCUGAGCAUUAUUGGCUGAUCACCUACAUCAUCUCGAGUGUUAGUAGACGACGGGUGUGUGGCGGAGGGUUCCCGUAUCGAAUUUGACACUUCCGGAAACCUAGGUUGAAACGAAUAUCCAACGAUAAUCGUUCCGACGUGAGAUUUGGUGUUUACUGCCAGGACACCAAAAAUGGUGUGCUUCGAGGUAGCGAGUGACUCGUGACACGAGUUGGUGAGUUUCAGAACACUUUGUGGGUUCCAGUGACGUCCCGAUGUGAUUUCGGGACUUCUGGCGAGUUACGGAGAUCGAUUUUUGAAAAAUCGAUUUCGUGAAAAAUUUGGGGAUUGUGAGUAUUGUGUUUGAGUCAGUUAGGUUGGACUCUGACUCUAUGGG
rnacentral:lncRNA from 1 species